rnacentral:rRNA from 1 species
GACGAACGCUGGCGGCGUGCCUAACACAUGCAAGUCGAACGGAAAGGCCCUGCUUUUGUGCGCUGCUCGACUGGCGGACGGGUGAGUAACACGUGAGUACCGUGCCCUUGACUUUGGGGUAACCUCAGGACGCUGGGGCUAAUACCGGAUAGGAGCUCCUGCUGCUUGGUGGGGGUUGGAUAGUUUCGGCGGUUGGGGAUGGAAUCGCGGCUGAUCAGCUUGUUGGUGGGGUAGUGGCAUACCAAGGCUAUGGCGGAUAGCCGUCCUUGGAGGGUGACCAGGCACAGUGGCACUGGGACACGGACCAGACCCCUACUGGUGGCAGCGGUAGCAAAUAGGACUCAAGGAGAGGGAGCGAGAGGCAGCUACACCGCGGGCGGGAUGAUGGCGUACGGGUUAGGAACCUCAUUCGCCUGUGACGGAGAUGGUAUUAAGGGAACGGGUAAAGAAGCACCGGCUAACUUCGUU